GACGUAGGGCGCGAGCGUUGUCCGGAUUUAUUGGGCGUAAAGAGCUCGUAGGCGCUUGUCGCGUCGACCGUGAAAACUUGGGGCUCAACCCCAAGCCUGCGGUCGAUACGGGCAGGCUAGAGUUCGGUAGGGGAGACUGGAAUUCCUGGUGUAGCGGUGAAAUGCGCAGAUAUCAGGAGGAACACCGGUGGCGAAGGCGGGUCUCUGGGCCGAUAUUGACGCUGAGGAGCGAAAGCGUGGGGGAGCGAACAGG
rnacentral:rRNA from 1 species